UCAUGUCGUUUUGGCAACCACACGGUCUUCUUGAACAUCACUUGUCACUGCAAAGUCAUUUAGCCGAUAGAUAGAUUUUCUUUCGUCUUUCAGUUUUCUUUUGCGUUCUAGUCUGAAUCUUACAUAUGUAAAUGUCUUCACUUUGUCCCUGUUUUCGACCACUCCUUCCUCAAUGGAGGUACAAGAGUGCACGUUUUUUGGUUGUUCUCCCCUCUAAAACAAAGAUUAGCUUCAAACCAUGGGUGUUUUCCUCUUCCUCCAAUGAUGAUUCAGCUUCACCGCCUAGACAAAGCCAAUUGGGUUAUGAUCCUUCAGAGGAGCUAUAUGGACUGUCGGUUGAUCCAAAACCAAGCAAUGCUCUUCUAGGGUCACCAAAACCAAGAUCGUGGUUUGGUCCAAAUGGUCAGUACAUCAGAGAGCUUCCUUGUCCAAGUUGCAGGGGGAGAGGUUAUACACCAUGUACAGAGUGUGGAAUAGAAAGAUCAAGGUCGGACUGUUCUCAAUGUAGCGGAAAGGGUAUAAUGACUUGUCGUCAGUGCUCGGGGGAUCGUGUGAUAUGGGAGGAGUCAAUUGAUGAGCAACCAUGGGAGAAAGCUCGUUCAAUUUCUCCACUCAGAGUAAAAGAGGAUGAUGAGGUAGACAACCUAGACCUAAAUCUGGAUGUGAAGAAAAAAUCAAAACGUGUUUACCAAUCACCCUCUCCUGAAGUUGGAUUGAAGAUCAGCCGAUCACUAAAAAGUCUCAAUGCAAAAACUGGACUAUUUAGUAAAAGAAUGAAGAUCAUCCAUCGUGAUCCUAUGCUUCAAGCGCAAAGGGUGGCUGCCAUUAAGAAAGCAAAAGGAACUGCUGCAGCGAGGAAGCGUGUUUCUGAAGCUUUGAAAGCUUUUUUUAGUGAUCCAGAGAACCGUCGCAAGCGGAGCAUUUCUAUGAAAGGAGUUAAAUUUUACUGUAGAAAUUGUGGCCGUGAAGGGCAUAGACGACACUACUGCCCUGAAAUCAGAGGUAGUUCUAUAGAUAAGAGGUUCAAAUGUCGAUUAUGUGGAGAAAAGGGCCAUAACAGAAGAACCUGUCCAAUGUCUAGGUUGAGCAAUCACAAAAGCUCUGGUAGAAGGCGUCACCGUUGCAAGAUCUGUCGUGAAAGUGGUCACAAUCGUCGUACAUGUCCUCGAGUGAUAGGGGUGAGAGACAAUUUGACUUCUGGAAGUAGAAUGUACACCUGCAGGUUAUGCCGAGAAAAAGGGCACAAUAUAAGGACAUGUCCUAGUAAAAAGAAGAGCCAUCAAAAUUCUAAUAUUCAAUUAGAAGAAGGAAGCCAGCAACUUGGUCUUCAAUAAUCGUGCUGGACAGUAGACAAAACAACAGAAAGUUCUGGCAUCUCCAUUUCCUAGUCUUUCUUUGGCUGGAUUUAAGGAUAGCAUCCUACUUUCCCUUUUGAUUUAUCUGCUUGUCGAUUUUGCUUUAUCCACUAAUUUCCUAACAUGCAGGGGUUACUAUACGAACGGCCAAAACCUUGAACAGAGAUGUAAACCUGUUGUCCAUUAUUUUCACUUAUUCAGCUUUAUUUGCACUAUGAUGACGUGUUUUGAUGUAAGCCAUCUCAGCUUAGAUGAGUUCAAGGGAUGGCACUUUGGACAGAUAUCCUGUACUCUUCCAUAAAAGAGAUCUGGCCACUUUCUUUCGAGGAUGCUUGAAUCUGUCAUUCUAGAGAAAGUUAUGUGGAGACUGUAAAAUGACAGCAUUUCUUCACCUAGAGAAAGUGAGGGAGAGAUGCAGCAGCUUUCCUAGGAAGAUA